UGAUGAGGUAGAGGUCGCGGGUGCGAUCAGUACGCUGAAGGAGGCGCUAAGGAGCCGCUUAUGAAUUCAGCCGAAAGGUGCACCCGCCGAAGCCCGCAGGACGUUCCUUACGUUGUCCAGCGCGGCUGGGGCUGUUGCCGAAAGGUGCAGAACUGUCACAGAUGAAUGAUACCUUUCUCGGAGGGUAUGAUUUCUUCUGUGUUGAGCUAUCUUAAAC
rnacentral:ncRNA from 2 species